UGGGGAAUUUUGGACAAUGGGGGAAACCCUGAUCCAGCCAUCCCGCGUGUGCGAUGAAGGCCUUCGGGUUGUAAAGCACUUUUGGCAGGAAAGAAACGUCAUGGGUUAAUACCCCGUGAACCUGACGGUACCUGCAGAAUAAGCACCGGCUAACUACGUGCCAGCAGCCGCGGUAAUACGUAGGGUGCAAGCGUUAAUCGGAAUUACUGGGCGUAAAGCGUGCGCAGGCGGUUCGGAAAGAAAGAUGUGAAAUCCCAGAGCUCAACUUUGGAACUGCAUUUUUAACUACCGGGCUAGAGUGUGUCAGAGGGAGGUGGAAUUCCGCGUGUAGCAGUGAAAUGCGUAGAUAUGCGGAGGAACACCGAUGGCGAUGGCAGCCUCCUGGGAUAACACUGACGCUCAUGCACGAAAGCGUGGGGAGCAAACAGG
rnacentral:rRNA from 1 species